UAUAGCUCAGGGGCACAGCACAUGCCUAGCAAGCAUGUGGUCCUGAGUUCAAUUCCCAGUA
rnacentral:tRNA from 1 species